rnacentral:misc_RNA from 1 species
UUUUUUUUUUGGGAUCUUUUGACUACAAUUUGGUUGCUAAUUGAAGGGAGUUUCAGAUCGCCCUGAUUCCUGUAACACCAUGUUCAGGUCAGAUGAUCGUUUCCUCGGGAUUCUUCACAAAAUGGUUUGUUUAUCUUUUAACAGUUUGAUGAUUAAUGCAACGAUGAAUGAAUAUGAUUGCAAAGGGAGCAUUAUUCGGAUUGUUGACGAGCUG